CAUUGUGACGGCACCGGCACCGCCUACAUCAGGCCCGCCCGGACUGCGCCUGUGUCCUCAGGAGCCGGGAAGCUUUGGACAGUGACCUGUGCACUCCGGACGCCGACAGAGAGAGUGAGAGCGUGUUUGGGGGAUCCAAACUGCAGAAUCCCCCAGGGAGAGGGAGCAGAGAGGCCUCUGGCUCCCCUCAGGCCCACCCCCAGGGCCCUCAGCACUCUGGGGAAGGCACAUCUGAGUGAUGCUCCGUGCGGGGCUUCAAGUGUGAGUCUUAGAAUUUCCUUCCAUGGACCCGGAAAACCUCCUCCUGAAGGCCCGUCUGGAGCGGCGCCUCUACCCUUACAGGUAGAGAUUCCACCCCUCCUGUAACUGCCGAGUCCCUGGAGUACCCCCACGAGAAAGCUCCUGGCCAGGCUUCCUCUGCUGACUGCCCCGUCCCCAGCGAGCACAACACACCCUGGCCCCCAGACCCCGGCCUGGGCCCGUGGGGUGGCUGCCCCCACAGCUCGCCAGGGCUCCCCCUGGACUCCUGCUUCCCCUUCCCUGCCUCACAGACCUGCCCCUGCCUGGGCGGCCCUCCCACCCCUGGGCCUGGUGCACCCCACAUGCCCCAAUCCCUGGGCUCUGGCCACGUUGCGCUGGGGCCCGCCAUGGGAUGAGCAAAGCCCCAACUCAGCCGUCCCAGGAAAUGGCCGGCCGGGACCAUGCACCACCGCGCCAAGGGGGCAGGUCACUUUGCCUAGACUGAGGUGACUUCAGCACAUCUAGUCAGCGUGAGAGUGACCACCGAUGGCAGUUUCCGGCGCCCCUGCCCGACCCCUGUGCGGGAUGGAGGGGCUGACCGCGUGGGCGUGAGGAAGUGCCCCAGCGACUGCGUGGGAAAGAGGAAGGAGGGAUUCUGGAAGGUACUUCCGGGUGAGGAUUUGAACAUCUCAAAGUAUCUGUGAGCUUGUCUUGGUGGAGACGGAUACACAGAUGCCGACUUGUAGCCGAUGGUGCACCCGCACCCAGGGGCGCCCGCCUGAGUGAGAGCAGGCCGUUGUGCUGGGGACGAGGGCGUGUGCCAGGGUGAGGACUCAUGCCGGAGUGGUGCUGCGGGGAUGGCACGGGCGCCUGGGGCUGGUCAGGCAGUGGAGGCUGGGGCCUGGGGAGUGGGAAGGACAGCCUGGGGUGCAGAGAGGUCUUGAGGCCAGUCCUGGGCCUGCAUGUGCUCCCAGGGCUGGGACUGGAAGCCUGGGGAAGCCUGCUCUGGCCGGCCGGCUCAGGAUGCAGCUGGGGCGCGCGUCUGCCAUGGCCCUGCUGCCUCUUGGGGGUGACGUUUUCCGGCCUCUCCUUCGUCGCACGUCUGCCGAGGCGAGGGGCCCCUCGGAUGUCAGCACACCUGAGCCGGGCGCCCCCCCAGGCUCCUCAGGCCAAGCCUCAGGCUAGUCGCCUGCUGGCACGUGAGUGCUGGGGUGACCUUGUGGGGCUUGCGUGCCAGCGCCCUUUGCUGGCCACCCUCACAUGGCAGUGCUGAUGGGGUGGGUGGCCUGGGCGUCCCCAGGUCCCGCUGUACCCUGUGCUCUCACCUGCUGGAACCCGCCCACCUGCCUGCUCGCCUGCUCCCUGGGUGCCUGCACUGCUCUCCUCCCCUGGCCGCGGCGUGCCAGGCAAAGAGUGGGGACCCAGUGUGAAGACCUCAUGGAAGAAGCCUGCCCGCAGGCCAGGGUGCAGCUUGUUAUCUUCCCCACCUCUAGCAGUGAGAAAGACUGUGAUGGAGAGGGGCUAAGGCCAGCCAAGGCCGCAGCCGCAGGGCACAUGCUGCCCGCGAGGAACAGGAGAGCUGGGGGGUGGGCGAUCAGGGGGCCAA